GACGAACGCUGGCGGCGUGCUUAACACAUGCAAGUCGAACGGUAAGGCCCUUCGGGGUACACGAGUGGCGAACGGGUGAGUAACGCGUGGGUGACCUGCCCUGCACUUCGGGAUAAGCCUGGGAAACUGGGUCUAAUACCGGAUAGGACCCUGGGAUGCAUGUCCUGGGGUGGAAAGCUUUUGCGGUGUGGGAUGGGCCCGCGGCCUAUCAGCUUGUUGGUGGGGUGAUGGCCUACCAAGGCGACGACGGGUAGCCGGCCUGAGAGGGUGACCGGCCACACUGGGACUGAGAUACGGCCCAGACUCCUACGGGAGGCAGCAGUGGGGAAUAUUGCACAAUGGGCGCAAGCCUGAUGCAGCGACGCCGCGUGAGGGAUGACGGCCUUCGGGUUGUAAACCUCUUUCAGCACCGACGAAGCGCAAGUGACGGUAGGUGCAGAAGAAGGACCGGCCAACUACGUGCCAGCCGCCGCAGUAA
rnacentral:rRNA from 1 species